AGUAACACGUGAGUAAUCCACCCUCGGUACCGGAAUAGCCCGGGGAAACUCGGAUUAAUGCCGGAUGGCCCAUUUGCUCUUCGGAGCUGAAUGGAAAAGAUAGCUUCGGCCUUCGACCGGGGACGAGCUCGCGGCGGAUUAGCUUGUUGGCGGGGUAACGGCCCACCAAGGCGACGAUCCGUAGCUGGUCUGAGAGGAUGAUCAGCCACACUGGGACUGAGACACGGCCCAG
rnacentral:rRNA from 1 species